rnacentral:rRNA from 1 species
UGCAGUCGAGCGGUAGAGAGAAGCUUGCUUCUCUUGAGAGCGGCGGACGGGUGAGUAAUGCCUAGGAAUCUGCCUGGUAGUGGGGGAUAACGUUCGGAAACGGACGCUAAUACCGCAUACGUCCUACGGGAGAAAGCAGGGGACCUUCGGGCCUUGCGCUAUCAGAUGAGCCUAGGUCGGAUUAGCUAGUUGGUGAGGUAAUGGCUCACCAAGGCGACGAUCCGUAACUGGUCUGAGAGGAUGAUCAGUCACACUGGAACUGAGACACGGUCCAGACUCCUACGGGAGGCAGCAGUGGGGAAUAUUGGACAAUGGGCGAAAGCCUGAUCCAGCCAUGCCGCGUGUGUGAAGAAGGUCUUCGGAUUGUAAAGCACUUUAAGUUGGGAGGAAGGGCAGUUACCUAAUACGUGAUUGUUUUGACGUUACCGACAGAAUAAGCACCGGCUAACUCUGUGCCAGCAGCCGCGGUAAUACAGAGGGUGCAAGCGUUAAUCGGAAUUACUGGGCGUAAAGCGCGCGUAGGUGGUUUGUUAAGUUGGAUGUGAAAUCCCCGGGCUCAACCUGGGAACUGCAUUCAAAACUGACUGACUAGAGUAUGGUAGAGGGUGGUGGAAUUUCCUGUGUAGCGGUGAAAUGCGUAGAUAUAGGAAGGAACACCAGUGGCGAAGGCGACCACCUGGACUGAUACUGACACUGAGGUGCGAAAGCGUGGGGAGCAAACAGGAUUNNNUACCCUNGUAGUCCACGCCGU